UACGGGGGGGGCAAGCGUUGUUCGGAAUUACUGGGCGUAAAGGGCUCGUAGGCGGCCAACUAAGUCAUACGUGAAAUCCCUCGGCUUAACCGGGGAACUGCGUCUGAUACUGGAUGGCUUGAGAUUGGGAGAGGGAUGCGGAAUUCCAGGUGUAGCGGUGAAAUGCGUAGAUAUCUGGAGGAACACCGGUGGCGAAGGUGGCAUCCUGGACCAACACUGACGCUGAGGAGCGAAAGCCAGGGGAGCAAACGGG
rnacentral:rRNA from 1 species